AGCUCCAAUAGCGUAUAUUAAUGUUGUUGCAGUUAAAAAGCUCGUAGUUGGAUUUCGGUCAGGCGUCUCAGGUCUGCCGCAUGGUGUGUACUUGUUGCGUCUGGCUUUAUUGAGAGAUUGGAUGUUGCCCUUAAUUGGGUGGAUCUGGUUUCUCAGCUGAUACUUUGAGGAAAUAAGAGUGUUCCAGGCAGGCGUUAGCCUUGCAUUCUGCAGCAUGGGAUAUCGAGACAGGACCUUGGUCCUAUCUUUGUUGGUUCUCGGGAUCGAGGUAAUGGUUAACAGGGACAGUUGGGGGCAUUCGUACGGGACUGUCAGAGGUGAAAUUCUUGGAUUAGUCCCUGACGAACUACUGCGAAAGCAUCUGCCAAGGAUGUUUUCA
rnacentral:rRNA from 1 species